rnacentral:rRNA from 1 species
AUGACGGCCACCAUUGCCCUGCCGUCGGGCGUGGGCACCGGGAUGGCCUUGUGGAUCAGGGUGUCCUUGUGGUGGAUCAGGGCGUUUGAGGUGGACACUGAGACCGGCAGGUGUACUCUCGACGCGGUCGGCGAGGGGGAGCGCCGCGACGGGGGGCAGAAGUGCGCUCCCAUCAGGGCCCCUCCUGCUGCCGUGCACAACGAAGAGGAACGGAGAGUGGAGGCGCCGGCGGCAGCCGUGGAGGGCGCUAGGCGCCAAGGUGCCUACAGGGGGGCCGGGGAGGGCGGAUGCGGAGAAGAGGCCGAGAGGGCCGGAGGUAGAGGGGGAGCCAGAGCCAGGGCAGGGGAGGGAGACGCCGAAAGAGCCGACGGGAGGGGAGGGGCAGCCGUCGGGUCGGUUGGGCGUGUGACGACGGCAGUUCGGUGGCUGAUGUACAGUACUGCACGGAGAGUAGCUGACUCAUCGGCGGGGUCCUGCUGCUACAGAGUUGGUCGGGCGUGUGACGGCGGUAGUUUGGAGCUCCAUAAGGCGGCGCCAUUGCUGUGGUGGGGGGAGCUAUUGCUUCCUGUUCAAGAUAGAAAAGAGAGGGUGAGGGGAGAGAUGAGACCAUGGAUAAAAGCUAAGAGAAGCACGGGGCUCAGGCUCCCACAUGUCAUCACUUGUCGUUCCUCAUCUAUCCUCACGUGCCUCGUCGUUGUAGCCGGCUCACCGAUACCAACAACCACUAUUGUAACCUAUUGUCGAAGCAGCCGACAUUGUUGCAUCCAGCUCGCUACGAACCAUCACUGGCAUGAUAAUUUGCUAGGAUCUGAAGUCUCGAUUUUGAUUAUUGUAGGAUGGAAAAGAAGGCUCGUGUAUGUUGCAGUUGCUAAGCAAAUGACCGAGCAGUGGACGUGUGUAUGCCCGUGCAAGGCGGCUGCUGCCCAGCUGUUUACAGAAGGAAUAGCUCCCCCCACCGCAGCAAUGGCGCCGCCUCAUGGAGCUUCGAACUACCGCCGUCACACGCCCGACCGACUCUGUAGCAGCAGGACCCCGCCGAUGAGUCAGCUACUCUCCGUGCGGUACUGUGCAUCGGCCGCCGAACUGCCGCCGUCACACGCCCAACCGACCCUGCAUGUCGUCACAACAAUGGCCUCGACUGCCUCUCGUCGCCUCCUUCUCUUCGUUCCUCGUCCGGUGGAGAUUGGCAGAUUUUUAGCAGAUUUUUGGGGCACUGCGCAGCGGAUGGCCGGACGGGCUGAGGCCCAAGUAGCAAUGCUUCAGCCACGUGAGACGGUCUCAGGGCAAGGCCCAAAACACAUCGGGAAGAAGCGAGACACGGAAAGAAUGAAUCACGAAGAUGGCGCUGAUGCUUGGGGUUCUCAAAGGCCAGAAACGCCCCCUUGGCAUGCAUCAGAGUAUAGUCAACUCAUCUCUGUAGGGCCGUUGCUGCCACUACUAGAACAGUAUGCAGGCGUAGGUUCUUAUGACCAAAACACUCUUAGGGGGACCCCGUGGCAAGUUCAGUCACAAGGCGCUAACACUGACAAAUGUACGGGCAGCCAACUUCAACUAGCUAGUAUGGCUAAUCAAGGGCCUACAACUACACUGAACAGCAGUGUGGGGACAUCUACUGCGGGGAGCUCUGAGCGCAUGGAAGACGCGUUCCACCAGCCAGCAGACAAUCAUGCCGCAAACAAUUUCGAAUGGAACUGCCCCGAUACUGAAGUGAAUGAUGAAACUGACGAUGACGCACAAGGGGAUAAUGGUGGGCAAUCAGAGAUCGUGGUACCUCAGCCACCGUACAUUGGGCAGAGAUUUGAAUCGUUCGAAGAAGCAAAGGAAUACUACCAGACAUAUGCAAAGUUCCAUGGAUUUGCGGUCAACACCGAGUACCAUAGGAAAAUUAAGAAAACUAACGAGUACAACAGAGGUGAGAUGAGGUGCCACAAGGCACGGAGGAACAAGAAGGGGAAAGGUGUUGCGCCUGUCGUUCCGGAACGAAAGAGAGGUAUCAUUCUCAAGACUGAGUGCCCUGUCCGGUGUAAGCUAAACGUAGAUGGAGCACAGUGGGUGGUCAAUGAAUAUUUUGACGAGCACAACCACCAACUCAUAAAGAAGUUCGACCUGGUAAAAUUUCUGACCGCCCACAGAGGGUUCACCCCCGUCGAAAGGCAAUUCGUAAAGCUGCUACAUGAUUGUAACGUCGGUCCAUCAAGAAUGGUACAGAUGCUAUCUCUCAUCCACAGCAAAAAGGGGACUCUGAGUAGCAUGCCGUACAUACCAGCUGACGUCACAAACCUACAGGCCAAGUACCGUAGAGAGAGCAAGUUGGCAGACAUAGAGGCCACAAUGGCCUACUUCGAUGAGAAAGCGAAGGAAGAUCCAGAUUUCUUCUACAUGAUAAGGUUGGACGAUGAGGACCGUGUCAAGAACAUGUAUUGGGUGGAUGGUGCUGCAAGGAGAGCCUACAAACAUUUCCGAGAUAGCAUUUCAUUUGACGCAACGUACCUCACCAAUAUGUACAAGAUGCCAUGCGCUCCGUUCAUAGGAAUAAAUAACCACAAUCAGUCGUUGCAGUUCGGCUGCGGGCUCGUCCGGAACGAAGACACGGAUGGGUACGUUUGGUUGUUCAAGACCUUCUUGGAGUGCAUGGAUGGACUUGCUCCGAUGAACAUAAUAACAUACCAAAAUUUCAGCAUGCGUGCAGGCAUAGAGGAGGUCUUUCCGUUGGCAGUGCACAGGCACUGCAGGUGGCACAUUAUAAAGAAGGCUGAGGAGACGCUAGGACCGUUCUUUGCUGACCGUCCAGAGCUGCACAAGGCAUUCGAGCUGUGCGUGGACCACAGCUUGACGGUGGAGGAGUUUGAAAGGAGCUGGAUGGCCAUGACUGAAACACAUCAAGUCCAAGACAAUGAGACUCUUGUUAGCCUGUGGGAGAAGCAAAUGUACUGGGUGCCGGCCUACUUCAUGCAGUGCUUCUUCCCCUUUCUGCAGACUACGCAACGCAGCGAGGGGUUCAAUGUUGUUUUGAAGCGGUACGUCAGCCCUAGCAACUCAUUGCUACAGUUUGCCAAGCAGUACAUAGCUUUGCAACACAAAAUUUUGGGAUCUGCGCUACAGCAAGAAGCGACAACGGCACUAAAGUAG